rnacentral:lncRNA from 1 species
CCCAACAGUUUAGGAAUUAGGGGCCAAAAAGGGCCCAAAUAAGCAUUAUUCUUGGUUUUCGCACAAUAACUUUAGUAUAAGUAAAUAGAAAUCAAUGAAAUUUUGACACAAUGUUUAUGACCAUUGAAGGAAGGUUGGGAUUGAUUUUGGGAGUUUUGGUCCCAACAGUUUAGGAAUAAGGGGCCCAAAGGGUCCAAAAUUAAACUUUGUUUGAUUACAUCAAAAAUAGAAUAAUUGGGGUUCUUUGAUAUGUAGAAUCUAAUUGGUCUACAUUAAGGUGAAGUGUACGUGAUUAAACUACACAAUAGAUUUUUUAAAAAUUUUACAUGUAGAUUCUGCUUGCAAAAAUAAAUCCGAAAAUAAAAUAAAAAAAGGGGGUUACAAUUUUCGUUUUUGAGAUACGAGCUGUUGAAGUUAACAGCAUCAUAC